rnacentral:rRNA from 1 species
UACGUAGGUGGCAAGCGUUGUCCGGAUUUACUGGGCGUAAAGGGCGUGCAGGCGGUUUGUUAAGUCUAGGGUGAAAGCGCCCGGCUCAACUGGGAGAGGUCCUUGGAUACUGGCAAACUUGAGGGAUGCAGAGGAAAGUGGAAUUCCCGGUGUAGUGGUGAUAUGCGUAGAUAUCGGGAGGAACACCAGUGGCGAAGGCGGCUUUCUGGGCAUUACCUGACGCUGAGACGCGAAAGCGUGGGGAGCGAACCGG